rnacentral:rRNA from 1 species
AGACGGUACCUGAGGAAUAAGCAUCGGCUAACUCCGUGCCAGCAGCCGCGGUAAUACGGAGGAUGCAAGCGUUAUCCGGAAUGAUUGGGCGUAAAGGGUCUGCAGGUGGCUAUGUAAGUCUGCUGUUAAAGAAUCUAGCUUAACUGGAUAAAAGCAGUGGAAACUACAGGGCUAGAGUGCGUUCGGGGUAGAGGGAAUUCCUGGUGUAGCGGUGAAAUGCGUAGAUAUCAGGAAGAACACCAGAGGCGAAAGCGCUCUACUAGGCCGCAACUGACACUGAGGGACGAAAGCUAGGGGAGCGAAUGGGAUUAGAUACC